AUUGAACGCUGGCGGCAUGCCUUACACAUGCAAGUCGAACGGCAGCACGGGUGCUUGCACCUGGUGGCGAGUGGCGAACGGGUGAGUAAUAUAUCGGAACGUACCUUAUCGUGGGGGAUAACGCAGCGAAAGCUGCGCUAAUACCGCAUACGCCCUGAGGGGGAAAGCGGGGGACCGUAAGGCCUCGCGCGAUUAGAGCGGCCGAUAUCAGAUUAGGUAGUUGGUGGGGUAAAGGCUCACCAAGCCAACGAUCUGUAGCUGGUCUGAGAGGAAGGUCCCCCACACUGGCACUGAGAUACGGGCCAGACUCCUACGGGAGGCAGCAGUAGGGAAUAUUGGGCAAUGGUCGGAAGACUGACCCAGCCAUGCCGCGUGCAGGAAGACGGCCCUCUGGGUUGUAAACUGCUUUAUCUGGGAGAAAAAGGACCAAUGCGUGGCAAACUUGCCGGUACCAGAUGAAUAGGCACCGGCUAACUCCGUGCCAGCAGCCG
rnacentral:rRNA from 1 species